rnacentral:rRNA from 1 species
AUGGUGACCAUGAAGUUGGGUUCCAAGCCAGACAUCUUCGUCCUCGAGGGCCUCACAUGGAGAUGCAUGACCGAGCUCGAGAGCGAUGUCGUCGUCGAAGUCGGAGACAUGUCCUUUUAUCUCCACAAGUUCCCGCUGCUGAGCCGGAGCGGCGUGCUGCAGCGUCUGAUCAGCGAGUACCAGCCGCCGUCCGACGGCGGCGGCGGCAUGUGCACGCUGCAGCUGGACGACAUCCCGGGCGGCGCCAAAGCGUUCGAGCUGGCGGCGCGCUUCUGCUACGACGUCAAGAUCGAGCUCAACGCGCUCAACGUGGUGUGCCUCCGGUGCGCCGCCGAAUACCUGGGCAUGACGGACGACUACGCGGAGGGCAACCUGAUCGCGCAGGCCGAGUCGUUCCUCGCCGACGUGCUCGCCAACUGGAAGGACUCCGUCAGGGCGCUGGAGACCUGCGAGGGCGUGCUCCCCGCCGCCGAGGACCUCCACAUCGUCCCCCGCUGCAUCACCGCGCUCGCCUCCAAGGCCUGCGCCUCCGACGCCGCCGCCUGGUCCACCCACGGCGCCAAGAACGCCAGCGUCGACGGGGACGCGCUCUGGAACGGCAUCGGCUCGGGCGACACGCCGCGCGGCGCGGCUGCCGCCGCCUCGGCCAUGGACUGGUGGUACGAGGACGUGUCGCUCCUGAGCCUUCCCAUGUUCAAGCGGCUGAUCCAGGCGAUGGAGGCCAAGAGCAUGCGCGCCGAGAGCAUCGCCGGCGCCAUCAUGUUCUACGCGGGGCGGCUCCUCCCGGGCCUGAAUCGCAGCGCCAGCUUCAGCAACGUCAGCUUCGCGGACUACGGCGGCGGCGCCGGCAGCCGUAGCGCCACCCCGCGCUCCGCCACCGCCAGCCUCUCCGGGACGUCCGACGGCGACCAGAGGUACUUCCUGGAGGAGAUCAUUGCUCUGCUGCCGACCAAAAAGGGCGUCACAUCCACCAAGUUCCUGCUCGGGCUGCUCCGCACGGCCAUGCUCCUCCACGCCAGCCCGCUGUGCCGGGAGAACCUGGAGCGGCGCAUCGGCGCGCAGCUGGAGGACGCCAGCCUCGAGGACCUGCUCGUGCCCAACCUCGGCUACACCGUGGACACGCUGUACGACAUCGACUGCGUGCAGAGGAUACUGGACUACUUCAUGUCGUCCAUGGACGGGCUGGGGACCGGGUACACGUCGCCGGCGCUGGCCGAGGAGGGCAGCCAGCUGGGGCUGCCCCACGCCGCGACGCCGCCCGCCGUGGCUCCGAUCGCCAUGGUGGCCAAGCUCAUGGACGGGUACCUCGCGGAGGUGGCGCCGGACACCAACCUGAAGCUGCCCAAGUUCCAGGCGCUCGCCGCCGUGGUGCCCGACUACGCGCGGACCGUCGAUGACGGCAUCUACCGCGCCAUGGACAUAUACCUCAAGUCGCACCCGUGGCUGUCGGAGUCGGAGCGGGAGCAGCUGUGCCGGCUGAUGAACUGCCAGAAGCUGUCGCUGGAGGCGUGCACGCACGCGGCGCAGAACGAGCGGCUGCCGCUGCGGGUGGUGGUGCAGGUGCUCUUCUUCGAGCAGCUCCGCCUCCGCACCUCCAUCGCCGGGUGGUUCUUCGUGUCGGACAACGCCGCCACGGCCACCGACGGCGCGCACCUGCACCACCCCGGCAACGCCGGCGCCAUCGUCCCCAAGGGCAGUGCCGUCGUGGACAGCGGCGCGGCCGGGCAGGACGAGGACGUGGUGAUGGUCACGCCCGAGGGGAAGGGAAGCGAGACCAUGAGCAACGUGAAGGCGCGGGUGUCGGAGCUGGAGAAGGAGUGCAUGAGCAUGAAGCAGGAGAUCCGGCGGCUCGGGAAGCCCCGGAGGUCGUGGAGCAUCCUCACCAGGAAGUGCGGCUUCGGAGCCAAGGUGCAGCAGGCGCAGACUGCCAUGAGCGGCAAAUAG